rnacentral:misc_RNA from 1 species
GUAGAAAGUCAUCUUUUAUAACGUUUUGCCGCUUGGGGGUUGAAGUUCUGAGUUUUCAAAACUUUCAUUCCAAAUCAACAUACAUGUUUGUUUUUUAAUGACUAGGGUAAUUGUAUCCUAUUUCUGAACAAAUUGCAGUGUAUUUACACAUUGGUUAAGCUACAUUCAAUGUCCCAGUGCAGUACAACAAUCACAUAAUGGCUGGUAAGGCGUUAAAGUGGAAAAUAGUGGCAGAUACCACUGGACCUCAUCCUCGGCCAAGACAUGGACAUCGUGCAAUUAUUAUUAAAGACUUGAUGGUUGUUUUUGGUGGAGGAAAUGAAGGGAUUGUUGAUGAGCUUCAUGUUUUUAAUACAGCAACAAAUCAAUGGUUUAUUCCAAUUACUAAAGGUGAUGUACCUCCAGGAUGUGCUGCUUUUGGUUUUGUAGUUGAUGGAACCAAAUUACUAGUUUUUGGGGGAAUGGUAGAGUACGGAAAGUACAGCAAUGAGCUUUAUGAGUUGCAGGCUGCAAAAUGGGAAUGGAAGAAACUAAAACCAAAAGAACCAAAAUUUGGCAAUCUUCCUUGUCCACGGUUAGGACAUAGUUUUACUGUAGUAAAUUCAAAGGUGUAUCUCUUUGGGGGAUUAGCAAAUGAUAGUACAGAUCCCAAAAACAAUAUCCCGAGAUACUUAAAUGAUCUCUUUACAUUGGAUAUAAAAAGUAACCCUAUGCAAUGGAAUCUCCCCCAAACCAAUGGUCCAGCUCCCACUCCAAGAGAAUCUCAUUCCUCUGUGGCAUAUGUGGAUAAAAACAAGAACUCUUUUUUAAUCAUAUAUGGAGGUAUGAGUGGGUGUAGGUUGGGUGAUUUGUGGUUUCUGGAAACAGAAACAAUGACUUGGGUCCAACCCCAAGUUUCAGGAAUUUCACCUCUACCGAGAUCUCUUCACACUUCCACAUUAAUUGGUCAUAAAAUGUUUGUUUUUGGGGGAUGGGUUCCUUCAAAUCUGUCUAAAGAUGUAAACGCCAUUGAAACAGCGUGGAAGUGUACAAAUACUUUGGCAUGUCUCAAUUUAGAAACGAUGAGCUGGGAUGAAAUCAAUAUCCAACAACAAGCUGAGCUACCUUGUGCCAGAGCAGGUCACUGUGCAGUGGGAAUUAGUACCAGGUUGUAUGUAUGGUCUGGUCGAGACGGAUAUAGAAAAGCCUGGAAAAAUCAGGUGUGCUGCAAAGAUUUGUGGUAUUUAGAUGUAGAUAAACCUCCUGCUCCUAGUCGUGUAUCUUUGGUUAAAGCAGGAACACAUACCCUUGAAGUCAAUUGGACUGGAGCACUAUCUGUGCAGACAUACAUCUUACAGAUACAAAAAUAUGAUUUACCCCCACCUGCUGCAUCGAAAACUCCAGCAACUGCUGCACCAGUAAUUCCAUCUUUGGUAACUGUACCAAAAGUAAUUGCUCCAGUUCUAGCCAGUUCACUUCAGACUCAGCCUACUACAUCUACACCAACUAUUAAAGCAAUUUCAAGUACUAACCAGGUUCAGUCACCUAAAAUUAUUUCACCAGUUGCUACAAGAGUACCACAAAUGAAGAUUCAAGGUACUACAGGAACUAUUAUCAGAGAUGGCAGUCCUCAGGUAGCAGGCAAACAAUUAAUAAUGAAACAAGGAGGCAAUAUUAUCCAAAAGGCGGGAGCUCCACAGCAAGUUAUAACUUUUGUCAAAACUAGUGCAGGUAUGACGUUGGCGACAAUACCAAAAGGGAGCAACGUGGUUCAGGCAAAACCAAAUGUUUUACCUCAAUCUCCCAAAAAUACCAUUGUGAAAAUUAUACCAACCACGGCAGCAAAUAAAGUUCAGACAUCCAUAAAAACGAUUCCAUACCAUUUGGAUAAGGCGACUGGGAAAUUAGUUCCUCUCAAAACUAUGGGACAGAUUCCUACAAUCGGCAAUCAACAAGUUCUGGUAAUGAAUUCAAAUGCAGGUUUGAAAAAUAUACAAACAUUAACCAAUGCACAGUCUGUAAAUUUGAGUCCUGUAAAAACUACUUCUAUAAAUACUCAACCAAUCGUAACUGCAGCAAAUUUAACAAACCUAACAAAUCUACAAGGCGUUAAGAUUGCUGGAAAACCUAUUACCAUAUCAAUGCCAAUGCAAGUUGUUGGGUCUCCUAAGACUGUCACUUUGUCAAAAAAUACAAAACAGGUAAUGAUCGGAGGGAAACCAGUUACUGUACAGAUGGCGACAGGUACUAACAAAACACUGACAUUGGUUCAGCCUAAUCAGUCUGCUGCAGUAGGCAAGAUUGUCCGGUUGCCAAUAGGUUCAACAAUAAAUCACUCUGGUAACAGCGGUGAACAACCAAAACUAAUGGUAAUUUCUCGUCCCAAACAACCAAAUGCAAAUAUAGCCUCGACUUCCUUUGAUAGUCCAGCAACAACAGAUGCAGCACUUGCUGCCAUAGCUGCAGAAGCUGGUCUGAUAGAUCCUGCACCUGAGGGAGGCGUAGGAAAAUUAGAUGGAUCUGAGGGAAAUGCUACACAAACAGUAGUUCUUUCGCAGGGAAGCAGUACAUCCAAUGUUGCUGCUCCUAUGCAAGUCUUAGGAUCUGGUUCUAUUAUGCAGCAACUUGGGUUGAAAGGGGGUGCUAGAUUCCAAAGACCACCUAAAAGCUUUAGGUAUCGUUUAGGAUUGUAUGGAGGUGGUGGCGUGGAUGAUGUAGAUGAAGAAAUGAAACCUUCAACUACAACAGCUGAAGCUGAUUCUACGCAAGCUACCGUCAAUGAAAUUGCGCCCUCUUCUUCUAAUGCUGAAAUUAUAAAAAUGGACUGGGAGUCCGAUUCAACACCUAAACAAUCUGAAGAAAGCUUAAGUGUUGAGGCAAAAUCUGACUCAGAAACAAAAUCGGAAGCCGAAGCAAAACCGGAAGAAACUACACAAAUUGAGGCUGAAUCAGAGGCUGAUAUAGGAACAGACGUUGACAUGAGAUUAGAAACUGAAGAACAAUCAGGCAGCAAAGACAACUUGGAACCUGAGACAAGUAAAAACACAUUGGAACCUGAGACAAGUAAAAACACAUUGGAACCUGAGACAAGUAAAAACACAUUGGAACUUGAAGAAAAAUCGGAGAGUGAAAACAAUUUAGAAGCUGAUAGAAAACCAGAAACUGAUGACAAAUCGGAAGCUGAAGAAAAAUCUGAACAGUCUAGUCAGAUAGAAUCAGAUAUUACAAAAUCUCCAAAGGAGAAUCAAACCAAGUCUGAGUCUGGACCUGAAGAAACGAAGUCGGAAAUGGAGACUGAUAUUAAAAAACCAGUUUUGGGAGACCUGUCUUCCAGUGACUCGGUGAAAAUGGAAGUAGACAUUAAAAAAGAAGAACCAUCAAUUGAUCCAAAUUGUCACACUUACAGUCAAAAUAUCACAACUUUAAAAACAGAUGAUAUGGUUCCCGAAGUGAAAAAAGGAAUUCUUGCACUUGACGAUGAUCCUCUAGCAGCGUUAGCUACUGCUGCCUUGGCUGAAAAUAAUUCCCAUGAUCCUGAAGUGCCUCUUAAAGACACUUGGUAUACUGUCGGCUUCAUUCGAGGGAAUAGUUGUGAUGUAAAGAGUUAUUUCUUGUUAAAUGAAGACACUGAGAAUCUGACCUUGGACACUUUGCCUUCUACUGUAAAUUACCCCGCGGGAUUCAAUCUUGAACCGGGCACUGCAUACAAGUUCAGAGUCGCAGCUAUCAAUUCAUUAGGUCGAAGUGAUUGGAGUGAGGUAUCAGCGUUUAAAACUUGUCUACCGGGCUUCCCAGGUGCACCCUCUGCAAUCAAAAUAACCAAAUCAGUAGAAGGCGCAAAUUUAUCUUGGGAACCUCCGAGUGCCAACCAAGGUGAAAUAUUAGAAUAUUCUGUUUAUUUGGCUGUGAAAGCAAAGGAUAAGGUUAAUACCAAUGCUGGUCAACUGGCCUUUGUACGGGUUUACUGUGGCCCGAAUAACAAAUGUGUUGUGAGUAACAACUCCUUGUCUGCUGCCCAUCUAGACACAACGACGAAAGCAGCAAUAAUAUUCCGUAUUGCCGCUAAAAACGAAAAGGGUUACGGACCCGCAACCCAGGUUAGGUGGUUGCAAGACGCAUCAUCCAAAACAAAGCGUCUUGCAGAUUCCUCGCCUAAGAAAGUAUGAUAAAGAAGAAAUGUAAAAAUAUACGACGGUGUGUGAAUGUGGUAAAAAUAUAAAUAUUGGUUAUUUGGAUGUUGCGGGUUCGGAUUUGCAAUUGAAAAGUACUCUCUUUUCGAGUAUUAACUGCUUGACGAUUUGCAUCUUCGAAAACUUGAAUGGAAGUCUUAUAAGGUAUCAUCUCCAAGAGCAACUUGAGGGACACCUUUUUUUGUUCCCUGGAAGCCGUCUGUCUCUUCUACGUUGAUCGUACUGCAGCCCAUUGGCUUAUUGUACAUCUUCUGAGGGACACCUUAGUACUGUUUUACACUCGCCAGAGAAAAGCUUGACUAGAUGAGUAACGAAGUCAACGAAUCUGUCAACUUCACUCAGUCAUUGACUAAUUCUGGCAUUACUGAUGACGUGAUGACCUUUAACGAAAACUUCAUCAUGGAAGGAGACAGAAUCCGUCAAAGCAGUAUCGACAAUGCCAAGGAAAUCGAUAACAGAAUCGAUACCCAAGUCAUUAUCACUCCCGCAACUCCAGCAGAAAGAAGAAUUUAAAGCCACAGAAGCACCGUCGUAGACAAAAUAAAUUUUAUAACUUUAUAGACAAAAUCCGAUAUAAGAACGACCUUCACCGAUGUGUUUAAUUGGGUUCCAUGACAUCUCGGAACGCGACAGUUCGUACCCCGACAAAUGGUGACGGACAAUUCGUAACGGUAACAGUUCGUAACUAUACAUUUUCGUAACGGUACAAUUCGUAACGCUAACAUUUAAUUUUUUUUAGCAAAUUAUUUCA